CCUACGGGAGGCUGCAGUGAGGAAUAUUGGUCAAUGGGCUUACGCCUGAACCAGCCAAGUCGCGUGAGGGAAGACUGCCCUAUGGGUUGUAAACCUCUUUUGUCAGGGAGCAACGCCGGCUACGUGUAGCCUUACUUAGAGUACCUGUAGAUAAAGCAGCGGCCAACUCCGUGCCAGCAGCCGCGGUAAUACGGAGGAUGCGAGCGUUAUCUGGAUUUAUUGGGUUUAAGGGGUGCUUCGGCGGAAUGCCAAGUCAGCGGUAAAAUCGCGGGGCUCAACCUCGAUCCGCCGUUGAAACUGGCGUUCUUGAGUGGGCGAGAAGUAUGCGGAAUGCGUGGUGUAGCGGUGAAAUGCAUAGAUAUCACGCAGAACUCCGAUUGCGAAGGCAGCAUACCGGCGCCCAACUGACGCUGAGGCACGAAAGCGUGGGUAUCGAACAGGAUUAGAUACCCCUGUAGUC
rnacentral:rRNA from 1 species